CCGUCGUACAGCUAACUGUAGUACUAUUCUAAGACAAGUGAACUAGAAACUUGGCAAAAACAGCCCAAACAUGAAUCGCUUCAUUCUAGUCCUGGUAGCUUUGCUGUUCGUCUCUGCUACCCAAGGAAAGCCAUUCAAGCCAGUCGUACCCUCCCCAACCUAUCCACCAACCCCUCCACGUCGAUUGGGUUGCUAUUACGAGGGCAAAUGGUACGCUCCUGGCUCACAAAUAUUUCAUAGGGAAUCUGGGGGUUAUUAUGAAGCUAAAGGAUGUUCUGAAGGCGGUCAUAUUUGGCAUAUAGUAUCUUAGACUUUCAAGACUGUAUCGAUAUAGUAAAUACCAAUGAACACUGUUUCUCUUUCCAAACAAUAAAUAAAUGAUAAACGAAUUUGUCAGUUAAGUUAUCAUGGACUCAAAGAUAGAUAUCCUUGCUUAAGUAAUUGUAAACUGCAUAGAAUAUCUUAACUGAAGCCUGUUUUUGUUAAUUAAGAUAGAAGCCGAAGGUCUAAUUUGCAUGGAACUAUUAAAAUCAAGAGCCAAAUGAA